rnacentral:rRNA from 1 species
GAUGAACGCUGGCGGCGUGCCUAGUACAUGCAAGUCGAGCGAACAGACGAGGAGCUUGCUCCUUUGACGUUAGCGGCGGACGGGUGAGUAACACGUAGGUAACCUACCUAUAAGACUGGGAUAACUUCGGGAAACCGGAGCUAAUACCGGAUAAUAUUUCGAACCGCAUGGUUCUAUAGUGAAAGAUGGCUUUGCUAUCACUUAUAGAUGGACCUGCGCCGUAUUAGCUAGUUGGUAAGGUAACGGCUUACCAAGGCAACGAUACGUAGCCGACCUGAGAGGGUGAUCGGCCACACUGGAACUGAGACGCGGUCCAGACUCCUACGGGAGGCAGCAGUAGGGAAUCUUCCGCAAUGGGCGAAAGCCUGACGGAGCAACGCCGCGUGAGUGAUGAAGGUCUUCGGAUCGUAAAACUCUGUUAUUAGGGAAGAACAAACGUGUAAGUAACUGUGCACGUCUUGACGGUACCUAAUCAGAAAGCCACGGUUAACUACGUG